rnacentral:rRNA from 1 species
UACGUAGGGUGCGAGCGUUGUCCGGAAUUAGUGGGCGUAAAGAGCUCGUAGGCGGUCUGUCGCGUCUGCUGUGAAAACUCAGGGCUUAACCCUGAGCUUGCAGUGGGUACGGGCAGACUAGAGUGCGGUAGGGGAGACUGGAAUUCCUGGUGUAGCGGUGAAAUGCGCAGAUAUCAGGAGGAACACCAACGGCGAAGGCAGCACUCUGGGCCGGUACUGACGCUGAGGAGCGAAAGCGUGGGGAGCAAACAGG